rnacentral:lncRNA from 1 species
GAGGUGGACUUAUUUAGACAAGCUUUAUUUAAUCCGCCCCUCGGGCUGGUUAUGAACCUGAUAUGUAGCUCUAGCUGGCCUCAAACUUCUGGUGACUCUCCUGCCUCAGUCUCCUAAGGGCUGAGAUUACAGAAGCUCAACUUUGAUAUCUGCAGAACAUCUGACUCUUGAACACACAAAACUUGCUAGAGCAUGCCAUCGAAACCCUAAUUUCAUAAAUGAGGUGGAAGAGGCUGUGAUUAAUGGAGGCCACAGACUUGGUCAGUCAGCCCAGGGCUGUCAGCAGCGGGGUUACACUCCAGGCUAGUUCUUGCUUUACUGUUGAAAGGCUGCUCUUUUUUGGAAGGUAAUUGAUUAAUUAACUAAUUCGUUUUUGAAAGUUUUACUCUGUAGUCCAGGCUGGCUUUAAACUCAUAGCAAUCCUCCUGUCUCAGGCUCCUAAGUAUUGUCAUUACAGGUAUGAACUACUCUGUCACCCUCACUUUACUUUUA